UGUCGGCAAUAAUGACAGGCAGUAAAUCGAUACACAAUUUUAUCAGGGCACAGUAGGGCUACAACCUUAAUGGUUUGGUCCAAAUAAAAAUGAUUCCAAAUUUGGGGCCUCUGAAUAAAUUUCAGCUGACACUAUUAGAUUUAAAUCUUUGUUAUUAAAAAAAGCAAAGGUCGGAGGACGUGUUUUCUGUGCUCCCUCGCCAGGUGUGCUGGGUCCUUUGCUGGGAGGUAGGUCCGCGUUAUGGAUUGCCAGGACAUGGUUUCGCUGAGGCUGCCAGAAUGAAUUACAGCCCAUUGGCCAUGGGGAUUACAUCAGCCGCAGCCGAGUAAGCAUGCGCGGAGGAAGACCUCGUCCCCUGGAAGAUACCGCGCAGAACACAGAGCACUGUGUCUGCAUGACGCCAAGCUGUCCUUUGUCACCCGCUUCACAGUCUGCAGACGUGCUGGAAGCUACCGAAUACUCCCAGCGCAAGUGAUGCUCGUACGCAACCCAAGGUACUACAAAAACGGCAAAGUCACCAUAAUACAAGAUGAGAAGGGAGGGCUGAUCUGGCAGGAAUGCCAACACUGAAAGGGAAAUGUUUUGGCAGACAGGAAACUCCAGCCAAUGCCAGCAAUAGAAUUAAAAACCUGAAUCCUAAGGAGGCCAAUGGAGGGGGAAGGAAUACCUCAAUUUGAUGAAUUGCAGCUUGGAAGAGGUUGCUGCCCAUUGUAAGACACACAAUGGCAAGUAAGGUCAACGGGGACCAAUGCGGAGAUGGGUGCCAAAUGUUGCACCAAUCAGAGUGCAUGGAUUCCAGGUCAUGACCUUUCAUGUUUUCCUAGCUUCCUUCCUUUCCCACUGCACAGGAAUUCCAUGCACAUAUGUAUCUAUGAUUAAAAUAGUUAUAAAGUUGUACAAAUAUUGUAUUCAAUGACAUUUACCACUUCCGCUACACCUGUAAUUGUACAAUAGAUCUGUAAUGGAGAUGGCAUGUUUCUGAAAUUGAAAAAUUUAUAAAUAAAGAUUUUAUGAAUUUG